UACAGAGGGUGCGAGCGUUAAUCGGAAUUACUGGGCGUAAAGCGCGCGUAGGCGGCUUUGCAAGUCGGGUGUGAAAUCCCCAGGCUUAACCUGGGAACUGCAUUCGGGACUGCAUUGCUAGAGUAUGGGAGAGGGAAGUGGAAUUUCCGGCGUAGCGGUGAAAUGCGUAGAUAUCGGAAGGAACAUCAGUGGCGAAAGCGACUUCCUGGACCAAUACUGACGCUCAUGUGCGAAAGCGUGGGGAGCAAACAGG
rnacentral:rRNA from 1 species